rnacentral:rRNA from 1 species
AACGCUAGCUACAGGCUUAACACAUGCAAGUCGAGGGGCAGCAUUGGGGUAGCAAUACUUCAGAUGGCGACCGGCGCACGGGUGAGUAACACGUAUCCAACCUGCCGCUUACUCGGGGAUAGCCUUUCGAAAGAAAGAUUAAUACCCGAUGGUAUAAAGAGUUCGCAUGUUCUCUUUAUUAAAGAAUUUCGGUAAGCGAUGGGGAUGCGUUCCAUUAGAUAGUUGGCGGGGUAACGGCCCACCAAGUCUACGAUGGAUAGGGGUUCUGAGAGGAAGGUCCCCCACAUUGGAACUGAGACACGGUCCAAACUCCUACGGGAGGCAGCAGUGAGGAAUAUUGGUCAAUGGGCGAGAGCCUGAACCAGCCAAGUAGCGUGAAGGAUGACUGCCCUAUGGGUUGUAAACUUCUUUUAUAAGGGAAUAAAGUGAGGGACGUGUCCCUUUUUGUAUGUACCUUAUGAAUAAGGAUCGGCUAACUCCGUGCCAGCAGCCGCGGUAAUACGGAGGAUCCAAGCGUUAUCCGGAUUUAUUGGGUUUAAAGGGAGCGUAGGUUGACAUAUAAGUCAGCUGUGAAAGUUUACGGCUCAACCGUGAAAUUGCAGUUGAUACUGUAUGUCUUGAGUGUACAAGAGGUGGGCGGAAUUCGUGGUGUAGCGGUGAAAUGCUUAGAUAUCACGAAGAACUCCGAUUG